rnacentral:rRNA from 1 species
CGACCGGGGCGACAGCAAUAUGAAGGUCAGGCUGAAGACCUUACCCGAUUAGCUGAGAGGUGGUGCAUGGCCGUCGUCAGUUCGUACUGUGAAGCAUCCUGUUAAGUCAGGCAACGAGCGAGACCCACGUCCACAGUUGCCAGCAUACCCUCCGGGGUGAUGGGUACACUGUGGAGACCGCCGCUGCUAAAGCGGAGGAAGGAGUGGGCAACGGUAGGUCAGUAUGCCCCGAAUCUCCCGGGCUACACGCGGGCUACAAUGGUUGGGUACAAUGGGCGAUCUACCCCGAAACGGGGAAAGGGAAAUACUCUUAAAGCCAAUCGUAGUUCGGAUUGAGGGCGUGCAACUCGCCCUCCAUGAAGCUGGAAUCCGUAGUAAUCGCGUUUCUAACAGAACGCGGUGAAUACGUCCCUCGCUCCUU